rnacentral:rRNA from 1 species
UGGGGGAUAUUGCACAAUGGGCGAAAGCCUGAUGCAGCGACGCCGCGUGGGGGAUGAAGGCUUUCGGGUUGUAAACCUCUUUCGCUAUCGAACAAGGCCCGCUUAGGGUGGGUUGAGGGUAGGUGGAGAAGAAGCGCCGGCUAACUACGUGCCAGCAGCCGCGGUAAUACGUAGGGCGCGAGCGUUGUCCGGAAUUAUUGGGCGUAAAGGGCUUGUAGGCGGCUUGUUUGUCCUGCUGUGAAAACGCGGGGCUUAACUUCGCGCGUGCAGUGGGUACGGGCAGGCUUGAGUGUGGUAGGGGUGACUGGAAUUCCAGGUGUAGCGGUGGAAUGCGCAGAUAUCUGGAGGAACACCGAUGGCGAAGGCAGGUCACUGGGCCAUUACUGACGCUGAGGAGCGAAAGCAUGGGUAGCGAACAGG